rnacentral:tRNA from 2 species
GGGGCGGUAGCUCAGUUGGGAGAGCGCUGCAAUCGCACUGCAGAGGUCGAGGGUUCGACUCCCUUCCGCUCCA